rnacentral:rRNA from 1 species
UACGUAGGGUGCAAGCGUUAAUCGGAAUUACUGGGCGUAAAGGGCGCGUAGGCGGCUUGGUCAGUCCCGUGUGAAAUCCCUCGGCUCAACUGAGGAACUGCACGGGAAACUGCCUGGCUUGAGUUCGGGAGAGGGAAGCGGAAUUCCCGGUGUAGCGGUGAAAUGCGCAGAUAUCGGGAGGAACACCAAUUGCGAAGGCAGCUCGCUGGGACGUUACUGACGCUGAGACGCGAAAGCGUGGGGAGCAAACAGG